rnacentral:rRNA from 1 species
AUUGAACGCUGGCGGCAUGCCUUACACAUGCAAGUCGAACGGUAACAGGUCUUCGGAUGCUGACGAGUGGCGAACGGGUGAGUAAUACAUCGGAACGUGCCCAGUCGUGGGGGAUAACGAAGCGAAAGCUUUGCUAAUACCGCAUACGAUCUACGGAUGAAAGCGGGGGAUCGCAAGACCUCGCGCGAUUGGAGCGGCCGAUGGCGGAUUAGGUAGUUGGUGGGGUAAAGGCUUACCAAGCCUACGAUCUGUAGCUGGUCUGAGAGGACGACCAGCCACACUGGGACUGAGACACGGCCCAGACUCCUUCGGGAGGCAGCAGUGGGGAAUUUUGGACAAUAGGCGCAAGCCUGAUCCAGCAAUGCCGCGUGCAGGAUGAAGGCCUUCGGGUUGUAAACUGCUUUUGUACGGAACGAAAAGCUCUGGGUUAAUACCCUGGGGUCAUGACGGUACCGUAAGAAUAAGCACCGGCUAACUACGUGCCAGCCGCCGCGGUAA